CCUACGUGUGGCAGCAGUGGGGAAUAUUGGACAAUGGGCGAAAGCCUGAUCCAGCCAUGCCGCGUGUGUGAAGAAGGCCUUCGGGUUGUAAAGCACUUUCAGUGGGGAAGAAAGCCUUGGGGCUAAUACCCUCGAGGAAGGACAUCACCCACAGAAGAAGUACCGGCUAACUCCGUGCCAGCAGCCGCGGUAAUACGGAGGGUGCGAGCGGUAAUCGGAAUUACUGGGCGUAAAGCGCGCGUAGGCGGUCUGAUAAGCCGGUUGUGAAAGCCCCGGGCUCAACCUGGGAACGGCAUCCGGAACUGUCAGGCUAGAGUGCAGGAGAGGAAGGUAGAAUUCCCGGUGUAGCGGUGAAAUGCGUAGAGAUCGGGAGGAAUACCAGUGGCGAAGGCGGCCUUCUGGACUGACACUGACGCUGAGGUGCGAAAGCGUGGGUAGCAAACAGGAUUAGAUACCCGAGUAGUC
rnacentral:rRNA from 1 species